rnacentral:misc_RNA from 2 species
AACGCAACUUGCACUCUGUUUCGGCAGAGUAUGCCUGUUUGAGAAUCUAUAUAUCUAUUCGACGUUUUGUUGAGAUUUGAGCGCUGUUUGCCUUUCGGGGGAAACUCGCUUUAAAAGUAUAGCUUCGGGUGCUAGGAAUGUUGAUUCUUGAACCAGAGAGAUGAAGGGUUCGCCCACUUCCUUUGGAGAUUGAUGAGUUCUUGGUGCUUUGGACCCAACCAUCAAGUCUAGUGCCUUACCGCGCUAGACUGAAACUUAGGUCUCAAAUCAGGUAGGAAGACCCGCUGAACUUAA